rnacentral:lncRNA from 1 species
AGUUGAUCUGGCACACUUGAAUCUAAUCUGAAUUUCUAACAACUUUGCUUCAGAAGUUUUUCCAUGAAAUUUGGUCUUUGCCUGACUCGCAUGCUAUAAAUUCUAUUAACCAAACUCUGCAGGCCCUUACACUAUUCUUAAACAAUUCUACACUUGAAAAAAGAUUAUGAAAUCUUUAGCAAACACACUCUGUAUUUCAGAAAGUAGAAUUAUGAGCUUAAGACUUAAGUUUUGGUUGUUUUUUUUUUCCUUUCAGAUUAUCCAAAAGGCUGGAUUCAGUGCCUGAACAAUCAUUUUCUAAGACAGAGGAAUGAAACCAUAGAGAAACCCAUUAGAGUUCAGACUGAUCCUGUGAGACUCAGGCUGCUUAAACACAAAGCAGGAUCAUUUUGUAAUCCAUUUCUAUUAGGUCUCUCCUUCCAUGGAGUUCUCAAGUCUCCCAGGGAUGCGGAAUCUACCUGUAUUACCAAUAAUGGUGACUGGUCUUUUUUUUUUUUUUUUUUUUUUUUUUUAAACCAACCCUCUCUCUCCCCUUCACUUCUCCUCCCAACAAGACCUUCAAGUGUUCAAGCUUUUCCAGAUGAGAAAAAUGGAGGCACAAGGAGGUUUAGUCACUUGCCCAGGAUCACAAAGUUGGUGGCCAUCUUCUUAGCUAAAUCAAAUGCAAUCCAAUGGGCACCAACAAUAUGCUCAGCAAUGGUCGAACAGAAGAUGCUGAUGACGGGGUCAACGUGGUCCUGGUUCCCAAGACCAUCAGGUGUGGAGACAGCAUGCCAGAGGCCAGCACAGUGGGGACGCUCCCAGGAGACCAGCCAUAGCAGACAGUGUGUGUGAGACUGAAACAACACGCUUAAGCACUGAGGAAAUGCAAAGCAAGGAAACAAAACCGGUUCAUUUCUUUUGUUUGGAAUGAGGAAUACAUGAGGGUUUUGGUAAUGAUUUUGGCCAGGAAGUGAGUCUUGGCUUCUUAGAAAAGUGACUAAAAACUAAAGUGGCCUAAACCUGCACUUCCAGGACUCAGGUGAAGAGUCACGAGUUGCUCCCGUGUCCUUAGCAAUUUUAACUGUUCAAAGUGCUGGAAAGAGGCAUCACCAGAUAAUUCUAAGAGUUUACAGCAUCAGGAGAACACCAAGGGACAAAGAAAAGGUGGGCUCAGAGAUUAGCAUGGAGGUGCGGUCUUCAGAAGUGAACAUUUCCUCUGGGCCUUGAUGUGAUCAACUGUAUAGGGGUCAGAAAGCUUUUCUGAAAAGGGUCAGAUGGUGGGCAGUUCAGG